rnacentral:rRNA from 1 species
AUUGAACGCUGGCGGCAGGCCUAACACAUGCAAGUAGAACGAGAGGCGGACGGGUGAGUAAUGUCUGGGAAACUGCCUGCUGGCGGGGGAUAACUAAUGGAAACGGUAGCUAAUACCGCAUACCAGCAGAUGGGCCCAGAUGGGCGUAGCUAGUUGGGGGGGUAACGGCGCACAAAGGCGGCGAGCCCUAGCUGGUCUGAGAGGAUGACCAGCCACACUGGAACUGAGACACGGUCCAGACUCCUACGGUAGGCAGCAGUGGGGAAUAUUGCACAAUGGGCUCAAGCCUGAUGCAGCCAUGCCGCGCGUAUGAAGAAGGCCUUCGGGUUGUAAAGUACUUUCAGCGGGGAGGCGUUACCCGCAGAAGAAGCACCGGCUAACUCCGUGCCAGCAGCCGCGGUAAUAC